rnacentral:rRNA from 1 species
CGGGGUGCAGCAGGCGCGAAAACUUUACAAUGCUGGCAACAGCGAUAAGGGGACCUCGAGUGCCAGGAUACAAUCUUGGCUGUCGCGAUGCCUAAAAAGCAUUGCAUAGCAAGGGCCGGGCAAGACCGGUGCCAGCCGCCGCGGUAACACCGGCGGCUCGAGUGGUAACCGCUAUUAUUGGGUCUAAAGGGUCUGUAGCCGGCCGGAUAAGUCUUUUGGGAAAUCCAGCUGCUCAACAGUUGGGCUUUCAGAAGAUACUGUUCGGCUCGAGACCGGGAGAGGUGAGAGGUACUUCAGGGGUAGGGGUGAAAUCUUGUAAUCCUUGAAGGACCACCAGUGGCGAAGGCGUCUCACCAGAACGGAUCUGACGGCAAGGGACGAAAGCUAGGGGCACGAACCGGAUUAGAUACCCGGGUAGUCCUAGCCGUAAACGAUACUCGCUAGGUGUCAGCCACGGUGCGACCGUGGUUGGUGCCGUAGGGAAGCCGUGAAGCGAGCCACCUGGGAAGUACGGCCGCAAGGCUGAAACUUAAAGGAAUUGGC